rnacentral:rRNA from 1 species
UACGUAGGGGGCGAGCGUUAUCCGGAUUUACUGGGUGUAAAGGGAGCGCAGGCGGCAGGGCAAGUCAGAUGUGAAAUACCGGGGCUCAACCCCGGGACUGCAUUUGAAACUGUCCGGCUAGAGUGCAGGAGAGGCAGGCGGAAUCCCUAGUGUAGCGGUGAAAUGCGUAGAUAUUAGGAGGAACACCAGUGGCGAAGGCGGCCUGCUGGACUGUAACUGACGCUGAGGCUCGAAAGCGUGGGGAGCAAACAGG